GUCUGGGGGCUCCAUGGGGCUUUGGGGUCUCUGGGGGGGCUUUGGGGGAGUCUGAGGGGAUUUAGGGGGGUCUGGGGGAGCUCCAGGGGCCGUGGAGGGGACACGGGGGGGACACAGGAACAGGGGGGGUGUGACACAGGUGGGUGUGACAGGUGUGACACACCUGAGCCAGGUGUGACAGGUGUGUGACAGGUGUGACACAGGUGUGACAGGUGUGACACGCAGGUGUGACAGGUGUGUGACAGGUGUGACAGGUGUGACACAGGUGACACAGGUGUGUGACAGGUGU